rnacentral:sRNA from 2 species
GUUCUCAAAUGGCUGAAUUCCAGUAAUGGGAACGGGGGAACCAACGGUGAUUAUGGCUUUUGCUCAGAUAGCGGCCGCUCACCUGGGGUGAAUCCUUGCUGCAUGCUGUAACGGUGCUCCGGCAAGGUAGGGCAAUCUCGCUGCCCGAAUCCGUCAGCUAACCUCGUAAGCCUCGAAGAGAGAGGAU